ACGGGUGAGUAAUAUAUCGGAACGUGCCCUAGAGUGGGGGAUAACUAGUCGAAAGACUAGCUAAUACCGCAUACGAUCUACGGAUGAAAGUGGGGGAUCGCAAGACCUCAUGCUCCUGGAGCGGCCGAUAUCUGAUUAGCUAGUUGGUGGGGUAAAAGCCUACCAAGGCGACGAUCAGUAGCUGGUCUGAGAGGACGACCAGCCACACUGGGACUGAGACACGGCCCAGACUCCUACGGGAGGCAGCAGUGGGGAAUUUUGGACAAUGGGGGCAACCCUGAUCCAGCAAUGCCGCGUGAGUGAAGAAGGCCUUCGGGUUGUAAAGCUCUUUUGUCAGGGAAGAAACGGUAGUAGCUAAUAUCUAUUACUAAUGACGGUACCUGAAGAAUAAGCACCGGCUAACUACGUGCCAGCAGCCGCGGUAAUACGUAGGGUGCAAGCGUUAAUCGGAAUUACUGGGCGUAAAGCGUGCGCAGGCGGUUGUGUAAGUCAGAUGUGAAAUCCCCGGGCUCAACCUGGGAAUUGCAUUUGAGACUGCACGGCUAGAGUGUGUCAGAGGGGGGUAGAAUUCCACGUGUAGCA
rnacentral:rRNA from 1 species